rnacentral:rRNA from 1 species
UUAAGCGACUAAGCGUACACGGUGGAUGCCCUGGCAGUCAGAGGCGAUGAAGGGCGUGCUAAUCUGCGAUAAGCGCCGGUAAGGUGAUAUGAACCGUUAUAACCGGCGAUACCCGAAUGGGGAAACCCAGUGUGACUCGUCACACUAUCAUUAACUGAAUCCAUAGGUUAAUGAGGCGAACCGGGGGAACUGAAACAUCUAAGUACCCCGAGGAAAAGAAAUCAACCGAGAUUCCCCCAGUAGCGGCGAGCGAACGGGGAGGAGCCCAGAGCCUGAAUCAGCAUGUGUGUUAGUGGAAGCGUCUGGAAAGGCGCGCGAUACAGGGUGACAGCCCCGUACACAAAAGCGCAUGUGCUGUGAGCUCGAUGAGUAGGGCGGGACACGUGGUAUCCUGUCUGAAUAUGGGGGGACCAUCCUCCAAGGCUAAAUACUCCUGACUGACCGAUAGUGAACCAGUACCGUGAGGGAAAGGCGAAAAGAACCCCGGCGAGGGGAGUGAAAAAGAACCUGAAACCGUGUACGUACAAGCAGUGGGAGCACAGGUUUACCUGUGUGACUGCGUACCUUUUGUAUAAUGGGUCAGCGACUUAUAUUCUGUAGCAAGGUUAACCGUAUAGGGGAGCCGUAGGGAAACCGAGUCUUAACCGGGCGUUAAGUUGCAGGGUAUAGACCCGAAACCCGGUGAUCUAGCCAUGGGCAGGUUGAAGGUUGGGUAACACUAACUGGAGGACCGAACCGACUAAUGUUGAAAAAUUAGCGGAUGACCUGUGGCUGGGGGUGAAAGGCCAAUCAAACCGGGAGAUAGCUGGUUCUCCCCGAAAGCUAUUUAGGUAGCGCCUCGUGAAUUCAUCUCCGGGGGUAGAGCACUGUUUCGGCUAGGGGGCCAUCCCGGCUUACCAACCCGAUGCAAACUGCGAAUACCGGAGAAUGUUAUCACGGGAGACACACGGCGGGUGCUAACGUCCGUCGUGAAGAGGGAAACAACCCAGACCGCCAGCUAAGGUCCCAAAGUCAUGGUUAAGUGGGAAACGAUGUGGGAAGGCCCAGACAGCCAGGAUGUUGGCUUAGAAGCAGCCAUCAUUUAAAGAAAGCGUAAUAGCUCACUGGUCGAGUCGGCCUGCGCGGAAGAUGUAACGGGGCUAAACCAUGCACCGAAGCUGCGGCAGCGAACGUAUCACCCAAGACAACUUUACGGAGUUGACGAUUGACGGAGCGAAGCGACGUCAAAGCGUUCAUUAAAGUCGAGUUGGCUUAGGGAUACGUUCGUUGGGUAGGGGAGCGUUCUGUAAGCCUGUGAAGGUGUGUCGUGAGGCAUGCUGGAGGUAUCAGAAGUGCGAAUGCUGACAUAAGUAACGAUAAAGCGGGUGAAAAGCCCGCUCGCCGGAAGACCAAGGGUUCCUGUCCAACGUUAAUCGGGGCAGGGUGAGUCGACCCCUAAGGCGAGGCCGAAAGGCGUAGUCGAUGGGAAACGGGUUAAUAUUCCCGUACUUGGUGUUACUGCGAAGGGGGGACGGAGAAGGCUAUGUUGGCCGGGCGACGGUUGUCCCGGUUUAAGCGUGUAGGUGUGUGUUCCAGGUAAAUCCGGUUCACUUUAACACUGAGGCGUGACGACGAGGCACUACGGUGCUGAAGCAACAAAUGCCCUGCUUCCAGGAAAAGCCUCUAAGCAUCAGGUAACACGAAAUCGUACCCCAAACCGACACAGGUGGUCAGGUAGAGAAUACCAAGGCGCUUGAGAGAACUCGGGUGAAGGAACUAGGCAAAAUGGUGCCGUAACUUCGGGAGAAGGCACGCUGACACGUAGGUGAAGUGAUUUACUCAUGGAGCUGAAGUCAGUCGAAGAUACCAGCUGGCUGCAACUGUUUAUUAAAAACACAGCACUGUGCAAACACGAAAGUGGACGUAUACGGUGUGACGCCUGCCCGGUGCCGGAAGGUUAAUUGAUGGGGUCAGCGCAAGCGAAGCUCCUGAUCGAAGCCCCGGUAAACGGCGGCCGUAACUAUAACGGUCCUAAGGUAGCGAAAUUCCUUGUCGGGUAAGUUCCGACCUGCACGAAUGGCGUAAUGAUGGCCAGGCUGUCUCCACCCGAGACUCAGUGAAAUUGAACUCGCUGUGAAGAUGCAGUGUACCCGCGGCAAGACGGAAAGACCCCGUGAACCUUUACUAUAGCUUGACACUGAACAUUGAGCCUUGAUGUGUAGGAUAGGUGGGAGGCUUUGAAGUGUGGACGCCAGUCUGCAUGGAGCCGACCUUGAAAUACCACCCUUUAAUGUUUGAUGUUCUAACGUGGACCCGUAAUCCGGGUUGCGGACAGUGUCUGGUGGGUAGUUUGACUGGGGCGGUCUCCUCCUAAAGAGUAACGGAGGAGCACGAAGGUUGGCUAAUCCUGGUCGGACAUCAGGAGGUUAGUGCAAUGGCAUAAGCCAGCUUGACUGCGAGCGUGACGGCGCGAGCAGGUGCGAAAGCAGGUCAUAGUGAUCCGGUGGUUCUGAAUGGAAGGGCCAUCGCUCAACGGAUAAAAGGUACUCCGGGGAUAACAGGCUGAUACCGCCCAAGAGUUCAUAUCGACGGCGGUGUUUGGCACCUCGAUGUCGGCUCAUCACAUCCUGGGGCUGAAGUAGGUCCCAAGGGUAUGGCUGUUCGCCAUUUAAAGUGGUACGCGAGCUGGGUUUAGAACGUCGUGAGACAGUUCGGUCCCUAUCUGCCGUGGGCGCUGGAGAACUGAGGGGGGCUGCUCCUAGUACGAGAGGACCGGAGUGGACGCAUCACUGGUGUUCGGGUUGUCAUGCCAAUGGCACUGCCCGGUAGCUAAAUGCGGAAGAGAUAAGUGCUGAAAGCAUCUAAGCACGAAACUUGCCCCGAGAUGAGUUCUCCCUGAGACUUAGAGUCUCCUGAAGGAACGUUGAAGACGACGACGUUGAUAGGCCGGGUGUGUAAGCGCAGCGAUGCGUUGAGCUAACCGGUACUAAUGAACCGUGAGGCUUAACCUU